UCAAAGGUUCCCUCAGCCUGGUUGGCAAUCAGGUGUCGAGUGUAAGUACACAAGGGAGCUUGACUGUGAGACUGACAAGUCGAACAGGGACGAAAGUCGGAACUAGUGACCCGGCGGUGGCUUGUGGAAGCGCCGUCGCUCAACGGAUAAAAGGUACCCCGGGGAUAACAGGCUGAUCUUGCCCAAGAGUCCAUAUCGACGGCAUGGUUUGGCACCUCGAUGUCGGCUCGUCGCAUCCUGGGGGUGGAGUUGCUCCCAAGGGUUGGGCUGUUCGCCCAUUAAAGCGGUACGCGAGCUGGGUUUAGAACGUCGUGAGACAGUUCGGUCCCUAUCCUCUGUGCGCGUAGGAAACUUGAGAAGGGCUGUCCCUAGUACGAGAGGACCGGGAUGGACGAACCUCUGGUGUGUCAGUUGUUCUGCCAAGAGCACCGCUGAUUAGCUACGUUCGGAAGUGAUAACCGCUGAAAGCAUCUAAGCGGGAAGCACGCUUCAAGAUGAGGUUUCCAUGGGCUUCGGCCCGAGAGGCUCCCGGCUAGACUACCGGGUUGAUAGGCCAGAUGUGGAAGUGCAGUAAUGCAUGUAGCUGACUGGUACUAAUAAGCCGAUAACUUGAUACACACAA
rnacentral:rRNA from 1 species